GGGUUGUGAGGUUAAGCGACUAAGCGUACACGGUGGAUGCCCUGGCAGUCAGAGGCGAUGAAGGACGUGCUAAUCUGCGAAAAGCGUCGGUAAGGUGAUAUGAACCGUUAUAACCGGCGAUGUCCGAAUGGGGAAACCCAGUGUGAUUCGUCACACUAUCGUUAACUGAAUACAUAGGUUAACGAGGCGAACCGGGGGAACUGAAACAUCUAAGUACCCCGAGGAAAAGAAAUCAACCGAGAUUCCCCCAGUAGCGGCGAGCGAACGGGGAGCAGCCCAGAGUCUGAAUCAGCUUGUGUGUUAGUGGAACGGUCUGGAAAGUCCGACGGUACAGGGUGAUAGUCCCGUACACCAAAAUGCACAGGUUGUGAACUCGAAGAGUAGGGCGGGACACGUGGUAUCCUGUCUGAAUAUGGGGGGACCAUCCUCCAAGGCUAAAUACUCCUGACUGACCGAUAGUGAACCAGUACCGUGAGGGAAAGGCGAAAAGAACCCCGGCGAGGGGAGUGAAAAAGAACCUGAAACCGUGUACGUACAAGCAGUGGGAGCACCUUCGGGUGUGACUGCGUACCUUUUGUAUAAUGGGUCAGCGACUUAUAUUCUGUAGCAAGGUUAACCGUAUAGGGAGCCGCAGGGAAACCGAGUCUUAACUGGGCGUUAAGUUGCAGGGUAUAGACCCGAAACCCGGUGAUCUAGCCAUGGGCAGGUUGAAGGUUGGGUAACACUAACUGGAGGACCGAACCGACUAAUGUUGAAAAAUUAGCGGAUGACUUGUGGCUGGGGGUGAAAGGCCAAUCAAACCGGGAGAUAGCUGGUUCUCCCCGAAAGCUAUUUAGGUAGCGCCUCGUGAACUCAUCUUCGGGGGUAGAGCACUGUUUCGGCUAGGGGGUCAUCCCGACUUACCAACCCGAUGCAAACUACGAAUACCGAAGAAUGUUAUCACGGGAGACACACGGCGGGUGCUAACGUCCGUCGUGAAGAGGGAAACAACCCAGACCGCCAGCUAAGGUCCCAAAGUCAUGGUUAAGUGGGAAACGAUGUGGGAAGGCACAGACAGCCAGGAUGUUGGCUUAGAAGCAGCCAUCAUUUAAAGAAAGCGUAAUAGCUCACUGGUCGAGUCGGCCUGCGCGGAAGAUGUAACGGGGCUAAACCAUGCACCGAAGCUGCGGCAGCGACACUAUGUGUUGUUGGGUAGGGGAGCGUUCUGUAAGCCUGCGAAGGUGACCUGUGAGGGUUGCUGGAGGUAUCAGAAGUGCGAAUGCUGACAUAAGUAACGAUAAAGCGGGUGAAAAGCCCGCUCGCCGGAAGACCAAGGGUUCCUGUCCAACGUUAAUCGGGGCAGGGUGAGUCGACCCCUAAGGCGAGGCCGAAAGGCGUAGUCGAUGGGAAACAGGUUAAUAUUCCUGUACUUGGUGUUACUGCGAAGGGGGGACGGAGAAGGCUAUGUUAGCCGGGCGACGGUUGUCCCGGUUUAAGCAUGUAGGCUGGUUGUCCAGGCAAAUCCGGAUAAUCAAGGCUGAGGUGUGAUGACGAGGCACUACGGUGCUGAAGUAACAAAUGCCCUGCUUCCAGGAAAAGCCUCUAAGCAUCAGGUAACAUUAAAUCGUACCCCAAACCGACACAGGUGGUCAGGUAGAGAAUACCAAGGCGCUUGAGAGAACUCGGGUGAAGGAACUAGGCAAAAUGGUGCCGUAACUUCGGGAGAAGGCACGCUGGUGUGUAGGUGAAGCCCCUGCGGGUGGAGCUGAGACCAGUCGAAGAUACCAGCUGGCUGCAACUGUUUAUUAAAAACACAGCACUGUGCAAACACGAAAGUGGACGUAUACGGUGUGACGCCUGCCCGGUGCCGGAAGGUUAAUUGAUGGGGUUAUCCGUAAGGAGAAGCUCUUGAUCGAAGCCCGGUAAACGGCGGCCGUAACUAUAACGGUCCUAAGGUAGCGAAAUUCCUUGUCGGGUAAGUUCCGACCUGCACGAAUGGCGUAAUGAUGGCCGGGCUGUCUCCACCCGAGACUCAGUGAAAUUGAACUCGCUGUGAAGAUGCAGUGUACCCGCGGCAAGACGGAAAGACCCCGUGAACCUUUACUAUAGCUUGACACUGAACAUUGAGCCUUGAUGUGUAGGAUAGGUGGGAGGCUUUGAAGCGUGGACGCCAGUCUGCGUGGAGCCAACCUUGAAAUACCACCCUUUAAUGUUUGAUGUUCUAACGUUGGCCCCUGACCGGGGUUGCGGACAGUGUCUGGUGGGUAGUUUGACUGGGGCGGUCUCCUCCCAAAGCGUAACGGAGGAGCACGAAGGUUAGCUAAUCCUGGUCGGACAUCAGGAGGUUAGUGCAAUGGCAUAAGCUAGCUUGACUGCGAGCGUGACGGCGCGAGCAGGUGCGAAAGCAGGUCAUAGUGAUCCGGUGGUUCUGAAUGGAAGGGCCAUCGCUCAACGGAUAAAAGGUACCCGGGGAUAACAGGCUGAUACCGCCCAAGAGUUCAUAUCGACGGCGGUGUUUGGCACCUCGAUGUCGGCUCAUCACAUCCUGGGGCUGAAGUAGGUCCCAAGGGUAUGGCUGUUCGCCAUUUAAAGUGGUACGCGAGCUGGGUUUAGAACGUCGUGAGACAGUUCGGUCCCUAUCUGCCGUGGGCGCUGGAGAAUUGAGGGGGGCUGCUCCUAGUACGAGAGGACCGGAGUGGACGCAUCACUGGUGUUCGGGUUGUCAUGCCAAUGGCACUGCCCGGUAGCUAAAUGCGGAAGAGAUAAGUGCUGAAAGCAUCUAAGCACGAAACUUGCCCCGAGAUGAGUUCUCCCUGAGACUUUAAGUCUCCUGAAGGAACGUUGAAGACGAUGACGUUGAUAGGCCGGGUGUGUAAGCGCAGCGAUGCGUUGAGCUAACCGGUACUAAUGAACCGUGAGGCUUAACCUUACAACGCCGAAG
rnacentral:rRNA from 1 species